GAUGUGUACCUACCACACAAAAAAUAUUGGACUAAAAUACAUACUUGGUUAGAAAAAAUGAUAAAACAGCAUAUAGAUUUGAAACCAGAUAUAUUCUUGUUGGGUAUAUUACCAGAUCAGCAUGACAAAGGGAAAACAUAUUUAAUUUUACAUGUACUAACGGCAGCAAGAAAUGUAUUCACACAGCAAUGGAAAAAUGAAGAGAUCCCUACAGAUGAAAAUGUUAUAAAAAUAUUAGAAUGUGCUGAGAUGGAUAGAUUAACACUUAACAUAAAAGAAAAGA